rnacentral:rRNA from 1 species
GUAGUCCACGCUGUAAACGAUGGGUACUAGAGAUGGUGGGAGUUGACCCCCGCCGUCUCGGAGCUAACGCGAUAAGUACCCCGCCUGGGAAGUACGGUCGCAAGACUAAAACUCAAAGGAAUUGACGGGAGCCCGCACAAGCGGUGGAUUAUGUGGUUUAAUUCGAAGCAACGCGCAGAACCUUACCUAGGUUUGACAUCCUUUGACAACUACAGAGAUGUAGCUUUUCUAGCAAUAGAACAAAGAGACAGGUGCUGCAUGGCUGUCGUCAGCUCGUGUGGUGGCAUGUCGGGUUAAG